rnacentral:rRNA from 1 species
GAUGAACGCUGGCGGCGUGCCUAAUACAUGCAAGUCGAGCGAACAGACGAGGUGCUUGCUCCUCUGACGUUAGCGGCGGACGGGUGAGUAACACGUGGAUAACCUACCUAUAAGACUGGGUUAACUUCGGGAAACCGGAUCUAAUACCGGAUAAUAUAUUGAACCGCAUGGUUCAAUAGUGAAAGACGGUUUUGCUGUCACUUAUAGAUGGAUCCGCGCCGCAUUAGCUAGUUGGUAAGGUAACGGCUUACCAAGGCAACGAUGCGUAGCCGACCUGAGAGGGUGAUCGGCCACACUGGAACUGAGACACGGUCCAGACUCCUACGGGAGGCAGCAGUAGGGAAUCUUCCGCAAUGGGCGAAAGCUUGACGGAGCAACGCCGCGUGAGUGAUGAAGGUCUUCGGAUCGUAAAACUCUGUUAUUAGGGAAGAACAGAUGUGUAAGUAAAUAUGCACGUCUUGACGGUACCUAAUCAGAAAGCCACGGCUAACUACGUG